CCUACGGGAGGCAGCAGUGGGGAAUCUUGGGCAAUGGGCGCAAGCCUGACCCAGCAACGCCGCGUGAAGGAAGAAGGCUUUCGGGUUGUAAACUUCUUUUCUCAGGGACGAAGCAAGUGACGGUACCUGAGGAAUAAGCCACGGCUAACUACGUGCCAGCAGCCGCGGUAAUACGUAGGUGGCAAGCGUUAUCCGGAUUUACUGGGUGUAAAAGGCGUGUAGGGGGGAAAGCAAGUCAGAUGUGAAAACCAUGGGCUCCACCUGUGGCCUGCAUUUGAAACUGGUUUUCUUGAGUACUGGAGAGGCAGACGGAAUUCCUAGUGUAGCGGUGAAAUGCGUAGAUAUUAGGAGGAACACCAGUGGCGAAGGCGGUCUGCUGGACAGCAACUGACGCUGAGGCGCGAAAGCGUGGGGAGCAAACAGGAUUAGAUACCCCAGUAGUC
rnacentral:rRNA from 1 species